CCUACCACUGACCGUGUAACUAAAAUGUUGUCAUACCAACGCCUUACUAAAGACUGUGUGACGCCUCCAUGAUAAAAGUCAUAAGGAAAAGAUGAAGCAGAGCAGUCUCUAAAUAACAGUGACAUCACACUGUAGAGCUGUAGAACACCUUGACAAGGGGUGCUGAAGAAAAUGACUGCUGACAUCUCCAUCCCUCCAGAUGGUCAUAUGGCAUCUUGGAAGCCGUAGCGACAAUGCACUGUCUAAUCUCGUCAUCCAAUCAGUAUUAAUCUGUAUGGUUUUAAAUCACACUAUAUUAGAUAGGUAAUUUGAAUGUACUAUAUUCGUUUUGCUAUUCAAGUCCCUAUCCUAAUUUUGUGGUCUGCCUUGCCUCUGCCCUGUGAGUACUACUGGCCAGCCUGCUACUGUAUGUGAGGCUAGUGGUGCAGACUAGAGCACCCAAGUUUUGUUUAUCUCUUGUAUUUUCUUGUUUGUCGGCCGGUGCAAUGUAUUCACUAUAAUUCAGGUAUUCCUUUUCUUAUUUGAUUCUAAAUACUGCAAAACUAUGUUUGAAACAAAGCUGAAGUUAUACAUAUUGAAAUUAUGCAUAAUAUGGUAAACAAUAGGAAUAUUAUAGUAUCCGAUUUCAAUAAAUAAAGUUUAUUGAAAUGCUAAAAUUAUGUCCUUUCCUUUCGAAAUGUCAUGUUAUUGUCUUCUUCUGAGCUCUUCUGCAAGCAUGUCCCAAGCUCAAACUUGAGUUUUAGAAUGAUUAGAAGUCUAUCUCUCUUUCAAAUAAACAUCUGAUUUCAAGCUAACACAUAAUGUUAGAACCAUAUGUUUCUCAGAGCGUGGUGAGAGCGUGGUUGUCCUAUAGUUAUUUUGCAUACAACCUUUCCACUACAUUCUGGGAAUGGUGCAGUAUUUAAACUCAGACAAAAAAGAAAUGCCCCUUUUUCAGAACCCUAACUUCACCAAAAGAAAGAUGCCCAGGAACCCUGCUCAUCUGUGUGAACGUGCCUUAGGCAUGCUACAAGGAGGCAUGAGGACUGCAGAUGUGAACAGGGCAAUAAGUUGCAAUGUCCGUACUGUGAGACGUCUAAGACAGUGCUACAGGGAGACAGGACAGGCAGCUGGUCAUCCUCGCAGUGGCAGACCACGUGUUACAACACCUGCAUAGGAUCGGUACAUCCGAACAUCACACCUGCUGGACAGUUACAGGAUGGCAACAACAACUGCCCGAGUUACACCAGGAACGCACAAUCCCUCCAUCAGUGCUCAGAAUAGGCUGAGAGAGGCUGGACUGAGGGCUUAUAGGCCUGUUGUAAGGUAGGUCCUCACCAGACAUCACCGGCAACAACGUCGCCUAUGGGCACAAACCCACCGUCGCUGGACCAGAUAGGACUGGCAAAAAGUGCUAUUCACUGACGAGUCGUGGGUUUGUCUCACCAGGGGUGAUGGUCGGAUUCACGUUUAUCGUCGAAGGAAUGAGCGUUACACCGAGGCCUGUACUCUGGAGCCACCACCCAUACUGCUCGUUCUGUGCAUGAUUUCCUGCAAGACAGGAAUGUCAGUGUUCUGCCAUGGCCAGUGAAGAGCCCGGAUCUCAAUCCCAUUGAGCACGUCUGGGACCUGUUGGAUUGGAGGUUGAGGGCUGAGGCCAUUCACCCCAGAAAUGUCUGGGAACUUGCAGGUGCCUUGGUGGAAGAGUGGGGUAACAUCUCACAGCAAGAACUGUCAAAUCUGGUGCAGUCCAUGAGGAGGAGAUGCACUGCAGUACUUAAUGCAGCUGGUGGCCACACCAGAUACUGACUAUUACUUUUGAUGUUGACCCCCCCCCUUUGUUCAGGGCCAAAUUAUUUAAUUUAUGUUAGUCACGUCUGUGGAACUUGUUCAGUUUUAUGUCUCAGUUGUUGAAUCUAGUUAUGCUUAUACAAAUUUUCAUACAUGUUAAUUUUCUGAAAAUAAACGCAGUUGACAAUU